rnacentral:tRNA from 1 species
CCCUGGCUGGCUCAGUUGGUAGAGCAUGUGACUCUUGAUCUUGGGGUUGUGAGUUCAAGUCCCGUGUUGGGGG